GAGAUCAGGUCCAGGAGUCUCUAAUGGGAUCAGAUGGGAGAUCAGGUCCAGGAGUCUCUAAUGGGAUCAGAUGGGAGAUCAGGUCCAGGAGUCUCUAAUGGGAUCAGAUGGGAGAUCAGGUCCAGGAGUCUCUAAUGGGAUCAGAUGGGAGAUCAGGUCCAGGAGUCUCUAAUGGGAUCAGAUGGGAGAUCAGGUCCAGGAGUCUCUAAUGGGAUCAGAUGGGAGAUCAGGUCCAGGAGUCUCUAAUGGGAUCAGAUGGGAGAUCAGGUCCAGGAGUCUCUAACAGGAUCAGAUGGGAGAUCAGGUCCAGGAGUCUCUAAUGGGAUCAGAUGGGAGAUCAGGUCCAGGAGUCUCUAAUGGGAUCAGAUGGGAGAUCAGGUCCAGGAGUCUCUAACAGGAUCAGAUGGGAGGUCCCAGAGAGAUCAGGUCUAGGAGUCUCUAAUGGGAUCAGAUGGGAGAUCAGGUCUAGGAGUCCCUAACAGGAUCAGAUGGGAGAUCAGGUCCAGGAGUCUCUAAUGGGAUCAGAUGGGAGAUCAGGUCCAGGAGUCUCUAACAGGAUCAGAUGGGAGAUCAGGUCCAGGAGUCUCUAACAGGAUCAGAUGGGAGAUCAGGUCCAGGAGUCUCUAACAGGAUCAGAUGGGAGAUCAGGCCCAGGAGUCUCUAAUGGGAUCAGAUGGGAGAUCAGGUCCAGGAGUCUCUAACAUGAUCAGAUAGGAGGUCCCAGAGAGAUCAGGUCUAGGAGUCUCUAACAUGAUCAGAUAGGAGGUCCCAGAGAGAUCAGGUCCAAGAGUCUCUAAUGGGAUCAGAUGGCAGAUCAGGUCCAGGAGUCUCUAACAGGAUCAGAUGGGAGAUCAGGUCCAGGAGUCUCUAACUGGAUCAGAUGGGAGAUCAGGUCCAGGAGUCUCUAACAGGAUCAGAUGGGAGGUCCCAGAGAGAUCAGGUCCAGGAGUCUCUAACAGGAUCAGAUGGGAGAUCAGGUCCAGGAGUCUCUAAUGGGAUCAGAUGGGAGAUC